GUGCCAGCCGCCGCGGUAAUACGUAGGGGGCAAGCGUUGUCCGGAUUCACUGGGCGUAAAGCGCGCGCAGGCGGUGAUGUAAGUCUGAGGUGAAAACCCGAAGCUCAACUUCGGGACUGCCUUGGAUACUGCGUCACUUGAGGAUAGGAGAGGCAAGGGGAAUUCCACGUGUAGCGGUGAAAUGCGUAGAGAUGUGGAGGAACACCUGUGGCGAAGGCGCCUUGCUGGCCUAUUUCUGACGCUGAGGCGCGAAAGCGUGGGGAGCAAACAGGAUUAGAUACCCUGGUAGUCCACGCUGUAAACGAUGAGUGCUAGGUGUAGGUGGGCUCAUACCCAUCUGUGCCGAAGCUAACGCAUUAAGCACUCCGCCUGGGGAGUACGGUCGCAAGACUGAAACUCAAAGGAAUUGACGGGGGCCCGCACAAGCAGUGGAGCAUGUGGUUUAAUUCGAAGCAACGCGAAGAACCUUACCAGGACUUGACAUCCCAUAGACCAGUCUAGAGAUAGACUUUCCCUUCGGGGCUGUGGUGACAGGUGGUGCAUGGUUGUCGUCAGCUCGUGUCGUGAGAUGUUGGGUUAAGUCCCGCAACGAGCGCAACCCUUACUUUGUGUUGCCAGCAUUCAGUUGGGCACUCACAAAGGGACUGCCGCCGAUAGCGGAGGAGGGUGGGGAUGACGUCAAAUCAUCAUGCCCCUUAUGUCCUGGGCUACACACGUGCUACAUGGGCGGUACACGGGAUGCGAAGCCGCGAGUGGAGCCAACCCUGAAACGUUCGUAGUUCGGAUUGUAGGCUGCAACUCGUCUACAUGAAGCCGG
rnacentral:rRNA from 1 species